ACAAGCGGCGGAGCAUGCGGAUUAAUUCGAUGCAACGCGAAGAACCUUACCAAGGCUUGACAUAUACGAGAACGCUGCAGAAAUGUAGAACUCUUGGACACUCGUAAACAGGUGGUGCAUGGUUGUCGUCAGCUCGUGUCGUGAGAUGUUGGGUUAAGUCCCGCAACGAGCGCAACCCUCGUUUCUAUGUUGCCAGCACGUAAUGGUGGGAACUCAUGGGAUACUGCCGGGGUCAACUCGGAGGAAGGUGGGGAUGACGUCAAAUCAUCAUGCCCCUUAUGUCUUGGGCUUCACGCAUGCUACAAUGGCCGGUACAAAGGGCUGCAAUACCGUAAGGUGGAGCGAAUCCCAAAAAGCCGGUCCCAGUUCGGAUUGAGGUCUGCAACUCGACCUCAUGAAGUCGGAGUCGCUAGUAAUCGCAGAUCAGCAACGCUGCGGUGAAUACGUUCCCGGGUCUU
rnacentral:rRNA from 1 species